CUUUAUGAUUCCUCCACAGAGUGAAGAUCUCAGAGCUCCCUAGUGGUCAGAAUACCCAACAUCAAACAUCCAUAUUUAUGACACAAUUACGCCUUUCGCUCUGAGCCGUGCACAAACGUGGAGAUGAAACUUCGACCUCAUAAGAUUGGAAUAUUUGUGGACUAUGAGAAAGGAGAGGUAUCUUUUUACAACGUCGAUUCCAAAGUCCACAUUUACUCUUUCCACGACAUCUUCACUGAAAACCUCUUCCCCUUCUUCAGCCCCUGCACCAACAAAUCAGGAAAAAACGAAAUGCCCCUGAUCAUCAGUCCAGUAAA